rnacentral:rRNA from 1 species
AUUGAACGCUGGCGGCAGGCCUAACACAUGCAAGUCGAGCGGCAGCGGGAAAGUAGCUUGCUACUUUUGCCGGCGAGCGGCGGACGGGUGAGUAAUGCCUGGGAAAUUGCCCAGUCGAGGGGGAUAACAGUUGGAAACGACUGCUAAUACCGCAUACGCCCUACGGGGGAAAGUAGGGGACCUUCCGGCCUUGCGCGAUUGGAUAUGCCCAGGUGGGAUUAGCUAGUUGGUGAGGUAAUGGCUCACCAAGGCGACGAUCCCUAGCUGGUCUGAGAGGAUGAUCAGCCACACUGGAACUGAGACACGGUCCAGACUCCUACGGGAGGCAGCAGUUGGGAAUAUUGCACAAUGGGGGAAACCCUGAUGCAGCCAUGCCGCGUGUGUGAAGAAGGCCUUCGGGUUGUAAAGCACUUUCAGCGAGGAGGAAAGGUUGAUGCCUAAUACGUAUCAACUGUGACGUUACUCGCAGAAGAAGCACCGGCUAACUCCGUGCCAGCCGCCGCUGUAA